GAAACGGAAGCUAAUACCGCAUACGGCCGAAGGACGAAAGAGGGGGACCUUCGGACCUUUUGCCAUCGAAUGAGCCCAUAUGGGAUUAGCUAGUAGGUGGGGUAACGGCCCACCUAGGCGACGAUCCCUAGCUGGUCUGAGAGGAUGACCAGCCACACUGGAACUGAGACACGGUCCAGACUCCUACGGGAGGCAGCAGGGGGGAAUAUUGCACAAUGGGCGCAAGCCUGAUGCAGCCAUGCCGCGUGUAUG
rnacentral:rRNA from 1 species